rnacentral:rRNA from 1 species
GAUGAACGCUAGCGGCAGGCUUAAUACAUGCAAGUCGAGGGGCAGCACGAAUAGCAAUAUUUGGUGGCGACCGGCAAACGGGUGCGGAACACGUACAGAACCUUCCUUCGAGCGGGGAAUAGCCCGAAGAAAUUCGGAUUAAUACCCCAUAGUAAAUUGAAAAGGCAUCUUUUUUAAAUUUUAAAGAUUUAUCACUUGAAGAUGGCUGUGCGCCUGAUUAGGUAGUUGGCGGGGUAACGGCCCACCAAGCCUGCGAUCAGUAACUGGUGUGAGAGCACGACCAGUCACACGGGCACUGAGACACGGGCCCGACUCCUACGGGAGGCAGCAGUAAGGAAUAUUGGUCAAUGGACGCAAGUCUGAACCAGCCAUGCCGCGUGGAGGAUGAAGGUCCUCUGGAUUGUAAACUUUCUUUUAUUUGGGAAGAAAUNUGAUAAUUCUUUAUCACUUGACGGUACCAGAUGAAUAAGCACCGGCUAACUCCGUGCCAG